rnacentral:rRNA from 1 species
UAGGGAAUCUUCCGCAAUGGGCGAAAGCCUGACGGAGCAACGCCGCGUGAGUGAUGAAGGUCUUCGGGUCGUAAAACUCUGUUAUUAGGGAAGAACAAAUGUGUAAGUAACUAUGCACGUCUUGACGGUACCUAAUCAGAAAGCCACGGCUAACUACGUGCCAGCAGCCGCGGUAAUACGUAGGUGGCAAGCGUUAUCCGGAAUUAUUGGGCGUAAAGCGCGCGUAGGCGGUUUUUUAAGUCUGAUGUGAAAGCCCACGGCUCAACCGUGGGGGGUCAUUGGAAACUGGAAAACUAGAGUGCAGAAGAGGAGAGUGGAAUUCCAUGUGUAGCGGUGAAAUACGCAGAGAUAUGGAGGAACACCAGUGGCGAAGGCGACUUUCUGGUCUGUAACUGACGCUGAUGUGCGAAAGCGUGGGGAUCAAACAGG